ACGCUGGCGGCAGGCCUAACACAUGCAAGUCGAGCGGUAGCACAGAGAGCUUGCUCUCGGGUGACGAGCGGCGGACGGGUGAGUAAUGUCUGGGAAACUGCCUGAUGGAGGGGGAUAACUACUGGAAACGGUAGCUAAUACCGCAUAAUGUCGCAAGACCAAAGUGGGGGACCUUCGGGCCUCAUGCCAUCAGAUGUGCCCAGAUGGGAUUAGCUAGUAGGUGGGGUAACGGCUCACCUAGGCGACGAUCCCUAGCUGGUCUGAGAGGAUGACCAGCCACACUGGAACUGAGACACGGUCCAGACUCCUACGGGAGGCAGCAGUGGGGAAUAUUGCACAAUGGGCGCAAGCCUGAUGCAGCCAUGCCGCGUGUGUGAAGAAGGCCUUCGGGUUGUAAAGCACUUUCAGCGGGGAGGAAGGCGGUGAGGUUAAUAACCUUGUCGAUUGACGUUACCCGCAGAAGAAGCACCGGCUAACUCCGUGCCAGCAGCCGCGGUAAUACGGAGGGUGCAAGCGUUAAUCGGAAUUACUGGGCGUAAAGCGCACGCAGGCGGUCUGUCAAGUCGGAUGUGAAAUCCCCGGGCUCAACCUGGGAACUGCAUUCGAAACUGGCAGGCUAGAGUCUUGUAGAGGGGGGUAGAAUUCCAGGUGUAGCGGUGAAAUGCGUAGAGAUCUGGAGGAAUACCGGUGGCGAAGGCGGCCCCCUGGACAAAGACUGACGCUCAGGUGCGAAAGCGUGGGGAGCAAACAGGAUUAGAUACCCUGGUAGUCCACGCCGUAAACGAUGUCGAUUUGGAGGUUGUGCCCUUGAGGCGUGGCUUCCGGAGCUAACGCGUUAAAUCGACCGCCUGGGGAGUACGGCCGCAAGGUUAAAACUCAAAUGAAUUGACGGGGGCCCGCACAAGCGGUGGAGCAUGUGGUUUAAUUCGAUGCAACGCGAAGAACCUUACCUGGUCUUGACAUCCACAGAACUUUCCAGAGAUGGAUUGGUGCCUUCGGGAACUGUGAGACAGGUGCUGCAUGGCUGUCGUCAGCUCGUGUUGUGAAAUGUUGGGUUAAGUCCCGCAACGAGCGCAACCCUUAUCCUUUGUUGCCAGCGGUUCGGCCGGGAACUCAAAGGAGACUGCCAGUGAUAAACUGGAGGAAGGUGGGGAUGACGUCAAGUCAUCAUGGCCCUUACGACCAGGGCUACACACGUGCUACAAUGGCAUAUACAAAGAGAAGCGACCUCGCGAGAGCAAGCGGACCUCAUAAAGUAUGUCGUAGUCCGGAUUGGAGUCUGCAACUCGACUCCAUGAAGUCGGAAUCGCUAGUAAUCGUAGAUCAGAAUGCUACGGUGAAUACGUUCCCGGGCCUUGUACACACCGCCCGUCACACCAUGGGAGUGGGUUGCAAAAGAAGUAGGUAGCUUAACCUUCGGGAGGGCGCUUACCACUUUGUGAUUCAUGACUGGG
rnacentral:rRNA from 1 species